UUUUUGCAAGUCCCUUCUUAAAAGCUUUACCCUUGAUUUGAGGAUUGAAUGGCACUUUAUCCCUAGAUUGCAGCUUUGUUCCCAAUGUUGGCACAGUAGAUCCCUGAUUCCCUGUGUUUCCAUAAAAGAUAUCAGGAGCCACCUCUCCAAUCAACCCGUGAUUACCGCUUAGAAUGUUGAAUCUCGAACCUUCGAUCCCGACAACAGAGUUACUGUUAGGUUCUGUUGCCGUCGUUAAUGGUUUCCGCCAUGGCUUGCGUUCCACUAACAUCCAUGGCCCAAACUGAUCCCCUUCCUCAACAUCAGGCGCUAAACUAUUCUUCCCAGAGCAAUCAAACGUUUCCCCUCCUUGGUUCAAUACACCCUUGUCAAGAUUCCCAGUCGCAGCUCCUACAGAUGAAACAUCUCUUACAAAAUUAUGACAGAAAGGAUCUCUAGAGUGUCUGAAUCUCCCACACUUAAAACAAACCUAGGACAUGGAUUCAUAUUCCACACGUUGUAUCCUCCCAUCAAUCUGUAGCUUUGAAAUCAAUAGUUUCCCUAGAUCAAUGUAAACCGCAAUCCUCGCAAAUUGCCCCCUAGAUUUGGAAGUCUUGUUACGAUCUAUUUUCACAACGGGACCAAUCGCGCCUCCAAUGAACUUGAGUAGACUUCUCGUGUACAUUCCUUCCAGCAAUGCAGGCAAUCUGAUCCAGACCAUCAUAUUCUUAGGAAACUCUUGAUCUGUUGAGAACUCAGGAGUCCAUAGCCGUACAGAGAGAUACUGCCCAAAAAUUGUCCAAGCCCCCCAGACAUCACCAAAAGUUUGACAACCACUGUUCGAGUCAUUUGUUUGGCAAUAAAAUGAUGCACUCGGUCAGAGAAAGUGAUGGAAGGGAUGCCAUCAACAAUCUCCUUUGUCGCGCCUCCCUCAAGUAAUUUGAUAUCAUCUUCAUUCUAUAGAUUACUCUUCUCAUUUGUGGGUACCCAGAAACUUGUCUUUCCAAGACUCGGAUUGAGCCGUAGGAAUAUCCACACUCAUGCCUUUAUCAUUGACCACAAGAUCAUCCGGAUCCGGUGGUUCAUCCGGCCUUCGGCUAACCUUUUUUGUCGAUCUUCCAGCACUAUCGCCUGUCGAAGCCAUUUACUUUUUGCUUGAUAAAGAUGAUUAAUGGGUUCAAACAUAUUUAUUCUAUUUUUUUAUUAAUAAAAAUAUAUUAAAUCACUUCAUAAUAUUA